GCGAGGAAUCUUGCGCAAUGGGCGAAAGCCUGACGCAGCAACGCCGCGUGGGUGAUGAAGGCCUUCGGGUCGUAAAUCCCUUUUGUCGGGGAAGAAGUUCUGACGGUACCCGGCGAAUAAGCCACGGCUAACUACGUGCCAGCAGCCGCGGUAAUACGUAGGUGGCAAGCGUUAUCCGGAUUUACUGGGCGUAAAGCGUACGUAGGCGGUGCGCCAAGUCCGUUGUGAAAUCUCCCGGCCUAACCGGGAGCGGCCAAUGGAAACUUGCGGACUGGAGGAGCGUAGAGGCGAGCGGAAUUCCCGGAGUAGUGGUGAAAUGCGUAGAUACCGGGAGGAACACCAGUGGCGAAAGCGGCUCGCUAGGCGCCACCUGACGCUGAGGUACGAAAGCGUGGGGAGCGAACCGG
rnacentral:rRNA from 1 species